GGAAUCUUCCGCAAUGGGCGCAAGCCUGACGGAGCAACGCCGCGUGAGUGAGGAAGUUUUUCGGAACGUAAAGCUCUGUUGUACAUGACGAACGUGCGAUCUGUCAACAACGGCUGGCAGUGACGGUAGUGUACGAGGAAGCCACGGCGAACUACGUGCCAGCAGCCGCGGUAAUACGUAGGUGGCAAGCGUUGUCCGGAAUUAUUGGGCGUAAAGCGCAUGUAGGCGGCGUGUUAAGUCUGUCGUGAAACUGCGGGGCUCAGCCCCGUAUGGCGAUGGAAACUGAUGUGCUUGAGUGCAGGAGAGGAAAGGGGAACUCCCAGUGUAGCGGUGAAAUGCGUAGAUAUUGGGAAGAACACCGGUGGCGAAGGCGCCUUUCUGGACUGUGUCUGACGCUGAGAUGCGAAAGCCAGGGUAGCGAACG
rnacentral:rRNA from 1 species